rnacentral:lncRNA from 1 species
CACCACCUCCUCCUCAAGGAUAUCCUAGACAGCAUCAGAGGGGUUACGGCCCAAGAAACAUGCCGCAUGGAGCUGGACCUAGGGACUUUGUGAGACCUCCGUAUAUGGGGCAAGGUCCUGGGUUCAUGGUUGGUCCAGGUCCUGGUUUUCCCGGUAAGAUGUUGAUUCUCUGUCAAGGGACAGGUUGAGCAUACAUGGUGUUAAGAUAGAGUAUAAUUACUAAAUUGCUGUAUUUUUUUUGUUUCUUCAUUUGACAUAGGUCCUGUGUACUACUUCCCGGUUCCACCCCCUGGAGCUAUAAGAGGCUACCCUCCACGCUUUGGUCCGCACCCUGGUAACCAGGGUCCUCAAGCUCUGUAUGACUCCUGAACAACUCGACUUAAAGGAUAGAGUCAUAAAACAAAUAGAAUAUUACUUGUGGCAAGUUAUGCGUUUGCAUCUAUAUAUUUUGUGCUUUUGAUACUAUGUUGAGCUGACACCUCUGAUGGAAUGUCUCUGAGUAUUUCCAUGCCUUGAGUCCAUCUUUGCUGGUUGGUAGAAUAUCACCUUACCUUUAUGUGCUCACCUUCCGUAUUUUUAUUCUUUUUUCCAGUGACGAAAACCUUCAGAAUGAUCAGUACCUCAUUUCCUUAAUGGAUGAACAAGGAUGGGUUCCCAUCAAAAUCAUAGAUGACUUCAAAAGGGUAAAACUCUAACACAAGAUUGUCUUGCUUUGCAUUACUCUGUUUUGUCAUUUUCAUUUUACACAAAUGUGUUGCUUUUAAUUUCUCUAUUCUUACUCUUGAAUUACAGGUUAAGAUGAUGAACAUGGAUGUAGAGUUUAUAGCAAAGAUAACUUUAAAAACUCUUCAAAGCAUACUGUUCUCGAGGGAGAUCAAAUGGUGGUCGACUAAGUUUGAAGCAAUUUCAUUCUGAUGGACUAAGAGGGAGGCAAACAAAGUAGCAGAUCAGUUACCAACUACUAGGCCUUUAGACAAUUCUUUUAAAUUUCAUUACCAUGUAUCACAAUAUAUCACUAAUCUUCUUCAUGAAGAUCAUGCAUGUGCUCUUGACUGCAUAUAGUAAUAAUAAACAUAGAGGUUAUAAAAAAUAAAAUUUAUAUUUUUCAAUUUGUGAUAUUAAUACAAGAUUGUAGAAUGUUUUUAUUGGAGAUAAAAAAAAAGGAAAAUGAUGUUUUUGGACUGAAGAUAUACUCAAUAUAUCAGUAAUCGUCUUCUGAAGAUCAUGCAUGUGCUCUCGACUGCAUAGUAAUAAUAAACAUAGAGGUUAUAAAAAAAUAAAAUUUAUAUUUUUUAAUUUGUGAUAUUAAUAGAAUGUUUUUACUGGAGAUAAAAAAAGAAAGAAAAUGCUGUUUUUGGAUCAUAAUGUUGGACUGAAGAUAUACUCAAAAUUCACAUAAUCCUUAAACUGAUACAUUAGUGCUUAAUAUUGUAACCGAAAUAUAAAAUAAAAGAUUAAGUUAGAAAGUAUAUAAAAUUUUAUUUUUAAUAACAAUGUUGAUAACCUGAUUGGUAUUUCGAAAAGAUAGUAAUUGUAAAAAAAUGAAAUUUAAUAAUAAAAAUUAAAUAAGUUGUGCAUAUCUAUUUAAAAUAUCUUAAUUAUCUUUUUACACUGAGUUUUAAUCCAUAACUAUAUUUUAACUAUAAUUAGAUUGCAAUAUUUUUUUUUAUGUUUAUAGUUUAACAAAUGAUAUAGUAAAUAGUAAUAUGUUUCAUAGAGGUGUUACAAAAAAAAGUCAUAGAAAUUUUAGCGUAUUUAACUCAUACAACACUUUUAAAAGUUUUUUAUUUGCUUCCUUAUGAAAUUUAUUUUGGAAUAAGUGAUAUAGUUUACUUAUAUUUUUUAUAAAUUUAUUUAUUGUAGUAACAAAUAUAUGAUUUAUAAAAAAGAAGAAAUAGUAAAAUUUGUAGUAAAAAUAGUGAAAUUAUAAUUUAAAAUAAACUGCAAAUUUAUUAAAAUUUAAAAUAUAUUUAUAUUGUUUCGUUCAUUUGCAUAUACACUACUAAAAAAUAUCAGAUCCUUUAAAUAAUAACAAAAAGAUAGAAUGGAGGUACAAAAAUUGAAAAUAGCAAUUCUCUGCAAAUUAAAAAUAGGGCAAUAAAAUUUUAAAAAUACGAAAUAAAACAAAAAAUAAACACAGCAGAAAUAUUUAGCAAGAUAAAAUCAUAUUAUAAUUUCCAAAAAAAUUUUAUUUAUAAUUUUCAUAAUUUAUAGUGCCCAGUUACGCUAAAAAGUCUAAAUUUACAACAUACACAGUUUUAGUUACAUGUUUUUUAAACUUAUUACCUAACUAAAAUGAUUCUAAAAUAAAUGACAGCAUGAAGAUUGGAAAAUCUAAAUAGAAAAUAUAUGAUAAAACAUAAUACAUAAUGUUAAAAUUACAUUAUCAUUUAUCACUAAAAAAUCAUGAUCGUAGCAAUAAAAAUAAAAUUACAAACACAUUUAAUAAAACCAUAAAAACACAACAAAGUGUUAUUAAAUAUACAAAAUACAAAUUUGACAUAAAAACUCACUAAUAAGAAGGAACAGCAUUUAAAUAAAUAAUUUUAUCGUCACAAGCUCGGAAAUUUCAAGUUGUUAUCGUCACAAGUAUAAGACUAUCUAAAGAUAAGCGAUCUAUAUUUAAUUUAUUGUUCAUACAAAUAUUACACUCACUAUUGCGGGAAAACUACAACUAAGCUUCAUCACUAACAACAAGAUUUUACUCUGACAGCUUAAUCAAAUACAUCAAGCACCUCAAUGGACGAAUAACAAGUCAACCAAAUAAUGAACUCAAGAGCAACUUCGCCUAUUCAACAAAACAAAAACAUCAGGACAAAUCAAAGCAAUAGAGGAAAAUACGCUCUCCAACCUCUUUCUGUUUCUUUAUUCGUAUCCCAUCAAAUUAUUGUACUAUGUCUUUGAAUAUAAUAAGUGCACUAAAUCUAUCUUGAUCAAUUCAUUCACUGAUUUUAUCUCUCCAACUAGAAAAAGUUAUAGGCAUCCAAUCAAAUUUUAAUUAAAACUAGCAAAUACAUUUUCAAUAUUUUAAGAGAUUUCCACCUUUUUCACAAAUAGAUCUCUACCUUAAAAUUAAUAUAUUUAAUUAAAAGCAUUUUCUGCGCGUAGCGCGGACAAAGAAUCUAGUUAGAUUAAUUUUGCAUGAUACCCGGAAAAUAAUAGAAAAAAUUACAUCUACACAUACUUCUGUCUAUUUACACUUACACAUAUUUUUAUUUUUAAAUAUAACUUGACAAUAUACAUUUUUUUAAAAAAAAUAUAUCAAAAAAAAAAUAAUAAAAUUCUAUUGAUUGAUGAACUUAGAAAUUCACCCUAGGAUAUGAGGGAAAGUAGAUUGUGGGAUCAGAUGACCCCACUCAAAUUGGAGAAAAAAAAUUAGUCAAUUUUUUUCUUAAGUUAUUACAAUAUUUAGUUAAAAUAUAGCAUUUGACUCUACUAAUUUAUGUAUAAGUUUUCAAAUGUCUCCAUUAAAUUUGUAAAAAAAAAUAUUUUUGUAAUAAUAAUAUAUACAUAUUAAAACUCCAGUUAAAAAUAGUUCUGACUCUGCCACUGCCCUAUGAUGCCACUGCCCUAUGAGGUGAACGGAAGAAUAACUCCAUAUAAAAUAUUUAAUGCGGGAAAGUUAGGUUGUUGAGAGACACAAGACUCUCAAUAUGAUUAGGGAAACAAUAAGCAAAUACCCAGUGUUUGAGUUUAUAACCACGCUUAAAAUUGUCAACGUACCCAGUUCCUUCAAAUCUGAUCUUCCUUGAUAUUUUUUCUUUGGAUCAUAACAAAAGACAUACGCCUCUUUGUCACCACACCACAUUGUUAAUGGUAUGAAAAUAAAUUCACCAGUGUCAUCAUUAAUACCACUUAGAAUAUAUUUCACUAAUUCACCAGUGUCAUCAUGGAUACCAUUUAGAAUGUAGUUCUCGUUUUGUUGUGAUAGUAUAUUUAUACUAUAGUCAUAUGCUUCAAUUGGAUCUUCUGGGGGAAAAGGCACAUGGAACUCUUUGUAUGACCAUUUUUCUUUGUCAACAUCUUCAAGGAUCCAUAAAAUUAUAAAAGAUGAUUCUUGACAAAUACGUGCCACUUUGCCCUCGUAAUUUACCAGAGCAUGCCUUGUUUUGUGACUAAAAUGCGGGGGCAUUUGGAUUGGUUUAAACUCCUCAGACCUCACAUCAAAACGCAUUAUGGUUUUUCUAUCUAGACCUUCGCGAUAAAUAUACGAAGGACAUCCACGAUCAACAAGAGUUCCAUAAUAUUCAUAUCGUAAAUACGCUUCAUAAAAGAUGAACCCGUUGAUGUAUUUUCCAUUAUUCGUCUGGUAAUGCAUAGGACUGUUUUUAAUCAAUCUCCAUGAUUCUUGAGCUCCUAAUGUAAGAACUUGAGGUCUGGAAUCAGAAGUAUUUGACAUACAAAGUAGCUUAUAUGUAUCUCCAAUAGGAUCAUAUCCUAAAUAGCUUCUUGUAUGCCAUGAAUCUUUGGGUUUGGGUAUGGUUACAUGUUGUCUUAUGGUAGGAUUCCAGAUCACAAAAUAAUUUAAAUAUUGGAAGGAGAUCAAGCCAAGUAUGGACUCAAAAUCAUUGAUGAACCGGUCUUCUUUUGGGAGGGUGAUAUGGUCCAUAUGAUGAUGAGAUAAAGACUUUUGCGCUAAUGAGAAAAAUAACCAGUUGUCCUCUUUUGUAAAACAGAGUUCAAGAUACGGACGAGUUGAUGACUGAGUGGCGAACAAAUUAAUGAAACUUGGAUCUGUAGUGGUAGAGAACCAUAACUUUGAUACACAUCGAAACCUUAGCAAUGAUUUCGCUGGAAGUCUCAGUAAUAUCUCCCUCAUGAGAUCAUGAGGAAUAUCACACUCACCAUCUUUUUCAUAAUUUUUCUUGUCCUCUUUAUUUUUCAUCACUCCUAGUUUUAAGCCCAUACUUUAAUUUCUCAAUGAUCUCUUUGUCCGUUUAAACCUCUUUAUACUGACAUUAUACAAUUAUGUAAGUAUACAUAGAGAUCUUUUCUAUAAAAUUUGAUAUUGACAUAGUAUAAAUUAAUGUACUAAUCUAAUUUAAAGAAUGUAUCAAAUCUUUGUCUUCAAAAUAUGUUAAUUAUAGUUUUAUUUCUUUAUAGAUUUAACUGUAACUAAAUCUAUAAGAAAUCUCUUACUGGUGUUGUUAUGAAAAGUAUUUUAUAGGUAUAUCAUAUAUGUUAGAUUUUCUGAAUAGAUUUUUAUAAGUUUUAGGGGUUAGUCUUUAAUCUAAAUUAGAUUACAAUUUAUUUUUAUUUUUUGAUAAUGUAAGCUAACUUUCCCAUAAAAGUUUAUAAGUAUAAUAUUAAACUUUUUUAUAUAAUUUUUAAGAAUUACCUAGUCUAUCUUAAGUAUUUUUAAUGAUUAUUUAAUCAAAAGAAACUCUCUUUUUUUUUCUCAAAUAGUGCAAGUAUCAUCAUUGCUUUUGGACAAACCUUCUUGUUGUGUGUGUGUGUGAAAGGAGAGUCAUAGUGGAUUAAUACAACCCAAUCCAGCCGACGACUCUAAUGAGUUAAGCUCAUAAUGGGUCAAUGGUGAAAGGCCAAGCAUAUUUAUAUAGCAAAUUGGUUAAAUGGGUUGAAAACAUAUAUCAAUAAAUCCGAAAAGAUGAAUUAGUCAUAUAUAAUAUAUUAAACUCGCAAUGGAAUAGAACGGAUCAAAGUAUGUCGGGUGAGUCAAUUUUUACCACAAGUAUAAGGAGUAGGAGGCGUAGAAUAUGCUUUUCUGUUUGUGUUUUAAAAUCUUAAAAUUAACUUUUGUUUAUCAAGCAAGGGAUACAAGCAAUCCGACGAUUUCAUUCAUCAGUCCAAUAGAAAACUAAACCAUUUCGACUCAAUCCACACGACGAACCAUAGAUAUUAAAUUAACUUUUGUUUAUUAUAAAUACUAAGCAUGUCAUGCCGCCGACUUUUAUUUCUUUAGAUAAAUGUAAAACUAUAGAAAUUAUAGAAACUUAGUUGGUGCUGGAGAAGGUUACGCGGAGGACGCCGUAAGUGAUGUUGUAGGUGAUGUCGUUGUUCUCGUACGCCUUGUACUUGAAGAGAAUAGAGCCGUCGUACUCCCUCGCCGCAAACUUGAAACUCAAGCCAACCGCACCAGGUUGAACUUCCGUCGCGGUAAACCGAACUUUGUUGAGAUGGAUAUCGAAUGUGUCCAACUUCGUGCAACCGGGUAUAUCGAUUUUCACCACAAUCUUCCUCUCAGUGGCCGUCUUUAUCGCAUACGCUUUUCGGCUACCUUGUGUUACACAGGGAUUGAAAUCUAACAAACCAAAAUGUAAAUCAAUUUAACAUUUUGGAAAAAGAAAACAGAAAGAGAUUUUGACAGCAGAUCGAACUUACGCGCAGCAGGGUCAUUUACGAUAUCAGUUUCCUCCUCUAGAUCAAUCACAAAGUGAUUUGGCUCUUCAGCGGAGCUGCUGGAAAAUUCAAUCUUUUCUAGACCAGAUUUAGGCAGGGCCGUGCCUGAGUAAAAGCCAAUCAAGCAUAUGCUUGGGGCCUUGAAAAGUUAUAUAAAUAUUAGGGGCCAAAUCCUAACAGAAAUAACUAAGUGGCUGGGUUGGUAAUGUACUUAUUAGAUGUAUAAAAGGUGCCGAGUUCGAUUCUUCCCCAUAACAUUUUAAAUUCUCAUAGUUUUGAGGGACCAAAUUAAUAAUUGGGCUUUAGGGCCUAAAAUUCUCAGGCACGGCCCUGGAUUUAGGGAAAAACAUUGUGUUUUUGUUUGUUUAAGAAAAGAUAUUAGUGAGAUAUAGAUCGAUGAAUAUGAGUAAUGCGUAUAUAUAUAGGAUUUUGGUACAUACAAUUUAUUUAAUGCUUUUUUUCCUUUUCAUUUUGUUAUUAAGAUUUUGCUAAUUCAGAAAAUUUUAUGAUUAACAUGGCAGGUACACUUGGUUUAAUUUGAUUGGUAGGUAUAUUUGGAAUCAUGUGGUUAAUACGCUUGAGUUUAAUUUGAUUGGUUCAAUGCUCAACAACAUGUUAUUUUAUUUUCAUGCAAUGUUUUUGUUUAAUGUAUUUUUAUUGGUUCGUGUACUCAUAUUUCCUUUUCGGUCUUUGCCUACGUACAUGUUCAGACCUUCUUCUCGAUUUGGCUUUCCCUUUUCUUUUUUUUUUUGUGUGAGUGAGAGAGAGUUUAAGCAUAUAUGAACAUUUUAGUAGUACUUUUUUAUUUGUAACUGAACAUUUUAGUAAUACUUACAAACAUAAUUAUGAAUGCGCUCUAACCAACUCUUCAAACCUUCUUCUUGAUUUGGUUUUCCCUUUUCUUUUUUUUGUGUGUGUGACAGAGAGUCUCAGUAUAUAUGAACAUUUUAGUAAUACCUACAACAUAAAUUAGAAUGCGCUUUAACCAACUCUUCGAACCUUCUUCUCGAUUUGGUUUUCCCUUUUCUUUUUGUGUGUGUGUGACAGAGAGUCUCAGUAUAUAUGAACAUUUUAGUAAUACCUACAACAUAAAGUAGAAUGUGCUUUAACCAAUUCUUCGAACCUUCUUCUCGAUUUGGUUUUCCCUUUUCUUUUGUGUGUGUGUGUGUGAAAGACUUUCAGUAUGAACAUUUUUAGUAAUUCCUACAAACAUAAGUUAUGAAUGCACUUUACCCAACUGUUUUCUUGCAACUCCAAGCCCUCAACAACCUGUCUUGGUUUUUGUAAGAAUGAAGACUUGUAAUUGGUACUAGAUAUAUAGUUCUACUAUAUAUAAAUGUACCCCGAAAACUCAUUUUCACUCAUCUCUCUAUCAUAGCAUUUAGCAUCCUCAAAGAAAAAAACAAAAGGAAAACUUCUCAAAAUGAGUACUACCACGGUUGAAGUGCCGGAUCAUCUAGUUAUUGAUUUGCAGGACAACCAACUGACGACGUGUAAGUUCUCAUUUUCUCUUAGGACGAGCUAUUGAUUUUGACCCGACCGUUGCAUCGUACACGCUGAUCAACCAGCUUCACACAUUUUACGCUUUUUAUGAAUACAUCAAACCGUUUGUAAAUUUCUUUUGAUUCGAGUAAAAAUGGAGAAUACGUUUUCCUUCAUGCGAUCGUCUCACCAAUCAUGCAUUUUCAUUCGCCCUCUUUUUCUUUUUCUUUUUCUUUUUCCUUUUUUUUUUCCAAACUAAGAGAACGAGAAGAUCAUUACAUGUCCUCUGAGUUUUCGCGUUUUCGAUCCAUAACAUAUUACACAUUAAAGGGCUCAUCAUGAAAAGAAAUAAAAGUUGAAGCUAAGCUGCAUGUAAUUCAUACGUAUACAGUAAACGACUUGUCCUCUGAGUUAUAGUAUUUUAGAUCCAUAACAUAUUAUAUACAUCAAAAGGCUCAUCAUGUAAUUCAUACGUAUACAGUAAACGACUUGUAACGUUUAUAAUAUAAAUAAUUAUGGCAGGUGAGAAUCCCUUCGUCAAAAGAGGGUGUAAAGGGAUGAUAGAGAUUAUGAAGGGAAAUGGGAUUAUGCUUCGGAUUGACCUCCCGGGGAGCAGGCUUAGGAUUGAUCUCCCUGGGAAUGAUUUGGAAUUCACCAAAGAAGGAGGAAGGCUAGUGCUCACUGCCACCGAAGAUAACGACGUGGACUUCACCCCCCGCACAUAUCGUAUCGAGGUUGUCUACGACCCGGCCCAUAAAAAAGUUAACGUUAUCGGCGGCGGCAGCACCAACGGUGUGAUGUGGAUCCAUUUUAACAUAUAAAGUUUGAUUAAAUUCUAUGUUCAAUGAUAUCAUCUAUUUACAAAUAAAAAAAAGAGAGUGUGAAAAUAGUUUGCUUAAUUACUUUGUGCCAAGGAUGAGCCUUGUGAAUUCAGUGUAGUUUGGAUUCAUGCAGUUGAUUUCCUCUCGAGUUGGUGUUCCAAGAACCUAUAAACACACAAUAAGAAAUAGUAACUGCAUGUAAUCAAUGGAUUUAACAUGAUUACCCCAUAUAACUGAUAAAGUAGCGCGUAUCAAGAACGCGCCCCCAAAUCGGCGAAAAAAAAGCGAAACUCAACAUUCACGUUCUAGAUUUGUCGACGACCAAGCCUACCGGAGUCGUCGCCGGUGCCGUCUCGUAUCCUACUAGACAGACCUCUCUUCCUCUCCUGCCUGUGUCACCAUUUCCAUUUCCAUGGAUGCUGAUGGAGAUGAAUCGCGUAGUACUGAAGCUGCGCAAAAGUCCUCUGAUGUAUCUGACCUGCAACAUGCUCCUUCUCCGGAUCCUCGCUGGCCGUAUCUUGGAAGAUGGUCAGCCAAUCCAAAACCCGUGUCUCCAACGUUACCGAUUUCGUCGGUGAAAGAAUCAGUAACUGAUGUUCCCUCUGCAACCAUUGCUCCUCCUUCUGCAAUCACAGAUCCACCUCCUGCAUCUACAACCAACGACCCUCUUCAUGUCUCUGAAAUCACAGACCCUCCUACUUCUGUAACCAUCGAACUUCCGACUGAAUCUCCGCCUCAAACUGAUGAACCCACUAAUGUUGAUGAGGAAGCACCACCAAUGGUACCUACUGCUGACGAUGACGUUUCUGAAAAUGGUGACCUUGAUGAGGAGCCCGCAACAGAAACCGUCUUUGUCCGAUCCAUGGGAGCGUGGUCGAAACCACUACACUUCACACCUCCACCUACCCCUCCUGUACCUGCUACUCCAAAGCUCGGUGUCUCAGACGUGGUAAAAGGCCAAAUAGCCUCCUUUUGGCCGUCACUUAAUGAAUCUAUCAUCGGUCACAAGCAUAAGAAGGAGCAAUUGUCGUAUCCUCCAAUGGAUAAAAUGCCUCCUCCGGCUCUCAAGGAUGAUGGUAGUCUUCGGUUUCCAUGGUCUGCUCGCAUGAACCAGUCCUCAAGAAAUCUUUUUCGAGCUGCUGAACCUACAUAUCGACUUGAUGGAACUCCUCAGGUGACAAUUCCUUCUAAGGUUCUUAGACUAGGACCUGAGAAUAAGGAAGAAUAUGUUGUUGGACAAUUCCACAGGUGUUCUAACCCACCAGGAGGCCUUAUUCAUGCUGUCUUGAAUAGACUAUGGGGACGGGAAUGUAAGAUAUCUUGUCGGAAAUUAGGAGAGUCGUCGUUUUUGUUUCAUAUUCCUCAUGAAAAUACUCGCAAAUGGGUUAUUCAACGGGGAGUGUGGCAUGUGGAUGAUUGUCUCCUAUUUGUGGCUCCUUGGAGUCCCGUAAACUCUUUCAAAAUCCCGGAGAUUUCUACAUUACCGGUCUGGGUAACCCUCAAGAAUAUUCCGGAUUCAUGCUUCUCUAGAUUGGGUAUCAGCCACAUAGCAUCAGGUUUGGGAGAGCCAAUGCUUACGCAUAGGCCUCGUUUAGAUCCAACAAAUAUGGGGGAAGCAAAAAUUUUAGUUGAGGUUGAGCUAGACAAACCGUUCCCAAAGCUAAUUGCUCUUGAUGACAAACAAGGCAAUAUUUACUUGGUAGAUGUGGAGUAUUCUUGGAUUCCUAGCGCGUGUGAAAGAUGUGGAGCACUUGGCCAUAGAGAGAAGAGGUGUUUACUUCCUCCAAAGCCACUGGGAUCUGCUGUUAUUAUAAAAGAAACUCCUAGUCCCAAUGAAGAGAUCCCAAUAGUGGAUAUAGGAUUGUUGCAAAACACCCCUAGUUCACAUGUCAACCACUUGGAACCAAACUUGCAAUCACCUUCUGGUCACCAAGCACAUGAGACUCCAAAAAACUUGUCUGUCACUACUCCCUCUGAGGAUGUAACUUCUGGUCCGAUCACACACUCACAUGAGGUACACUCUACCUCUUGUUUAAAGAUUGAUGAUACUUUACCUAUGUUAGCAGCCACAAUUGCUGCGCCCUCUCAGACACAAAUUAUGGAAGAAAUUCCAUCACAAGUUAACAUUUUCGAAGCUUCACAUGCUUCUGAAAAUGAGCAACAAGUUGGUCCUCUCUCGCCUCUCACUCCCAACCAUCAUCAUUUCCACAUGGAGCCGGAGACUCCUCUUGCUUAUGGAAAAGAAACUGGUUUAGAAGUGGUUGGAGAAACCUCUAGUUAUAACUUAACUAGAGGAGGAAGACCAAUAAAACCAACACAAAAGGUUCAAGAAAUGGAAUGGACAAAUGUUAGAGGAAGGGGUAAAAAAGGUCGACGUGGCCGAGGAAACCAUUUCCACUAGUUUGGUCUUUUUUUUCUUUCCUAUUAGGUUUCAUUUGUGAACCCUUCACUCGGGUUGUGCUAAAACCCUCCUCUUGUUGCAAACUUUCUCAAACUUAUGAGUGAAAACUCAUACUUGUACCAUUUAUGCAUUUUAAUAUGAAAGCCUUUUACAAAAAAAAAAAAAAAACAUGAUUACCCAAAUAAAAGACAUUAUUAUUAUAGUUAUUAUUUUCUUUAAUUAGUUCUAAAUUAUGCGAACAUAUUCUCAUGGGAUGAGUGAGAAAGCAUUACCUGAUAUGUAUAGAGUUUAACAUAGAUCAUGGGCAUCCUCUGGUUAGCCCGACUGUAAUGCUUUGAGACGCGAUAGACAGUCUCAGGAACGUAUUCAAGGACCAAAUUGAGAUACGUACAACUCAUCUUUCUCGGUCGUUGAGAAAAAAGCAAUGCUUGAGGGACACAACAUUAGGGCGAUUACAACAGUUUCUGCUGUUUGUAAAGACUCUGCCUGUGUACAAGUAACAAGACACAUGAAACAAAGUUAACGAACUUUGAGUCUUUGAGUCUUUGCACCAAUCUCUCCGCUCAGUAAAAUCAACAAUUAAAUGUAUGUAAUCAAAACACCACCUGAAAAACAAUUCCAAAUCAACGAUGCGGUCUUCCAUGUAACUUAUGGUCUGAAAACCAAAAAAACUAUCAGAGAUUUAAAUUUUAAAUAAAAAAAAUUAGACACUACAGCAACUGCAAGUUCUUUAAUUUUAAAUGAUCUUUGUCUCAAGUUUCUAAUAAACAGUGUUUUAGGCUGGCCAUUUUUACCACCAAUUAAUGAAUAAAGGUACAAUUUAAACACUUAACUAACAAAUAUAUUUACAAUUAACUUUGAACAAUAUAAAUAGUUACAUAUUUUAUUUUAUUUUGUUCUAAGUUAAUGUAAAAAUUAUAUAUUAAUUUACAAUUCUAUUACUAGUUUAUCAUUUUAAUUAAUAGUGAAUAUAUAAUAGAAUUAAAAAUGUACAUUAUAAUAUGUCAUAAUAAAAAUUAAAACAUGUAAUCAUUUUCUCUUCUCAUAGUAAAAAUAAGCAUGAGGCAUAACCAAAAUGGGAUUUUCCUUAAAUUAUAUUUUAAGGUCUGCGACUUCCGAGUCCACGGCGUUUCCCUAUCGUACUCAGAAGCUCCUACGUUUUCGCCGCCGCGUGAUUCGCCGGUAAAAAUUGCUAACGAAUUGAGAUCUUUCUGAGAGUUCUCGAGUGAGAUCGUGUUCUAUUGUUGUUAAUGGUAAAUUGCUCGAAGCUCGAAAUGUAGAUCUAUGCCGUAUUCCUUUUUUUCUUCUGUUGAAUAGGUCUCCGCUUUGAUCUUAUUUCAGCAGUCUGCGAAGUGGACAAGUAGACUUACUCCGAUAGAUUCUUAAUCUGAUGUUUUCCGGUGUGAGUUAGGCUUUAUACACUUGAAUUUCGAGGAUCUAUUGUUAGGUUGAUGAGCUAGAAACGGAUUUGAAUGUCUCAGUUUAGGCUUAGUGUGAAUGUAUUACGAAGAUUCAGUAUCCUCUAAGCUCUGUGUGUGUGAAGAAAUUAGAGAAUGUGUUUGUGCAAAGUAGAUUAUUAAUCUUUCAUUGAUUACGCAGGUGACGUCACGUAUGGCCACUAAUACGUUAAAAGAUUUGAAUACUCUUCCUUUAACUGAGAAGAUGAGUGAAUGUUAAGCAAGCUUAGCCAAGCCUUGUGUUGGCAAAAUGAAUGGACCAUUACCUAGCGUUGGAGAAUCAGAGAAGCCCGAGGUAGAGAAAGCUACCGUGGAAGUUGAAUACAUUGAGUCCGAGAACUUGGAUAAUGUAGACGAUGCUGAUGCAGUGCUCAAGGUUUUUUUUUUUCCUGUUUCUUGCUUAUGUGUUAUGGUUUUCAUCAAAAUCUCAUUUUCAUUAGUAUAACCCAUAGGUUUAUAACUGUGAUGAAGCUGUUACUGGUGUAUCUAUGUAUUUAGAGAUUAGAAGUAUGCUUUUUUUUUAAUGCAAGACGAAUUAGUUUGAUCUCAUUCUUUUUCUUUCAGUCGGUUCUAGCUGGUCUGGACUCAAAGGAUUGGGUAUCUGUCUGUGAUGCUCUUAAUAACGUUCGUCGCCUUUCGAUAUUCCACAAGGAAGCAAUGCUUCAUAUGAUGUAAGCCAUGUUCUCUUUAUUAUCUCUUAGAGUAGAUUGUAAAAUGGAAGUUUCAUGAUGAUAUCCCAUUUCACAGCGAGAAAGUGAUCCCACUAGUCGUGAAAUCACUGAAAAAUCCAAGAAGUGCGGUGUGUAAAACGGCGUGCAUGACGUCUGCAGACAUCUUCAGUGCAUACAACGACCAUAUAACAGAUCUGUUGGAUUCUCUGGUAGCUCUUUGUUCACUCUCUUUAUUGCGUUCGUUGAUUGGAUUUUACUUGUUAUUACAAACGUUUUCAUACUCUCAGCUUACUCAACUCCUCCUCAAGUCUUCGCAAGAUAAAAGGUUUGUCUGCGAGGCAGCAGAGAAGGCUUUAACAUCGAUGACCAAAUACGUUUCCCCAACUUUGCUGUUACCAAAGCUGCAACCUUGUCUCAAGAACAGGAAUCCUCGGAUCCGUGCAAAAGCAUCAUCAUGCUUUUCCAGAAGUGUACCUCGACUGGUAAUACAAGUUCAACUCCUGUUCUUUCCCCAUAUCUCUCUCACAAAGGCAUCACGUGUUAUGUAGCAAUUCCAACAACUUCUUGCGCUAUGUUAUACAUAUUCCAGGGAGUUGAAGGUAUUAAAGAAUAUGGAAUCGACAAAUUAGUUCAAGCAGCCGCGUCUCAGCUUAGCGAUCAGCUCCCUGAAUCCCGCGAGGCUGCACGGAUCGUCUUACUAGAACUUCAGACCGUGUACGAAAAAGCUCAUCCUCUCGUCAAACCCGAGACAUCAUCAUCGCCAGAGGAAGAUCAAAUCCCAGAGGCAGAGCCAAUUACUUGGGAAAUCUUCUGCCAGUCAAAGCUGUCUGCUCUAAGCGCACAAGCCGUUCUUCGUGUCACCAAUGUUGUGGCAGUGACUGCGCGGGAGGGGUUGGUUAGUGUUACUACAGGUUCAUCAUCUUCAUCAUAGUUAUAAGCCUUCUCUACUACAUUUUCAAUUCUUUUUUAAACCGUUUGCUACGGAUCUCAUACGGUUACAUGGUAUUCUCCGGCCAUGAUCAACCAAAUUGGCAAAUUAUGGACCGGUAAAGAGAGUGAAAAUCGGUUAUUAAAAAUCUUUGUUAUUUUUCUGGUUGGUCUUCUUCUGUCAGUGUUUUGCUUCUAUUUUUUUGUUUUUUCUUAUGUGUAUAUAUUCAUACCAAUGUUUGGUAAGAUAGUCCGAGUAUUUUGUUUUAAUGCAAUUUGGUCGUACCCUUUAACGAUUUAAGUCUGAUUCUUCACAACGUUAUUGUUUUUUACUUUUUGUAAAUAUGCAUCUUCCUUGUUGGAGUUUUGCCUAGAUUAAGACCUUGAAUAAUAGAAUCAGAUGGUUUAGCCAAGUCAAUCCACCUUAGUCAUUUACAAGCUUCCAACCUGAGUUUGGAUCCACCCUUGUUAACACCCAACUCUGGAAGUUGACUUUUAUUAGAAUAAAAACAAUAAAAAGUAUCUGAGAUCUUGACCAAUAUAGAGUCAAGAUAAAUAGCUUUCACCUCUACCAAGGAGGGUGAAACAAUAAGAGCAACAUUCUCUAUAUAAUUCAGCUCUGCGAGAGCUCGCGGCUUCGAUUAGCUGCAGCAACAACAGCAUUCAUAAGUGUCGCACGGAAAGAACCUUUCUCCAGUUCAUGAACUCCGGCUAUUGUAGUCCCGCCAGGUGAAGUAACAUCAUCUUUCAACACACCUGGAUGCUUCCCUGUCUUGCUCACCAUUGUUGCAGCUCCAAGAACCUGCCAGAGACCAACACCUCAGUUAUUCAAUACCAAACAAACAGAAAAAGAAAGUGAAUAAAGAAGCUGUAUGGGUCGGUUCACUGACCGUUUGUGAAGCUAAGCCAAGUGCGAGUUCUCGGGGUAAACCAGCAGCUACUCCCCCAUCAGCCAAAGCUUCAAUGGCUAAGAAUACGUAUGCUGGUCCACUUCCACUGUAAUGAUUACUUGAUUAGUGGGCGACUUGAACAACUUAAGCAUUGAGAAACCGUUACGUACCUGAGACCAGUAACAGCAUCAAACAUUUUCUCAUCGGCUUUAAACAUCUUCCCCACCGAGCCAAACAACUUAGCAACAAGUGCUCCAUCUUCUUCACUUGCCGCUGUUCCGAGACUCAUUACUGUUUUACACAAAGACAUAAUUUUCAGCAACCGUAUGCAUAUCAUAAUUUCAAAAGAGAAAAGCAACCACACACAAUUUCAUCAGAAGAAGAAAAAAAACACAAAUAGGGACUCUGAGAGAAACGACCUGAAGCUCCCUCACCAACUGCUGCUGGUGUAUUAGGCAUCACCCUUAUGAAUCGAUCGUGACCAGACCAUUCCUAGCAUCAAACAAAACAAAACAAAAGGAGACUUUUCAGCGUUUAAACCAAAAACGGAAGUCUAGAAACUAACACUGCAACGCCAUUGAUAGUGAUAUAUAACCAUUUGUUUCUAUACAAACCUGUAGAUCUUUCAGCGUAAUUCCAGCUGCAACUGAAACCAGAAGCUUAUCCUUCGUCAGCUUAGACCUUAACUCCGUGAUGGCCUUCUUAACUGCAAUACAACAGGCACAGCUUUAAAUCAGUACAAAGAUAUUCCAAAGAGAAUACAACACAGAGAGAGGUAGACAAACAUACCAACUUGAGGUUUCACAGAGAAAAUCACAACAUCGCUUUCUUCAACGACCUGUCAACGUACCACUAACAUUCAUGAUAGUUGUAUAGACAAGUUAAAGAGUAUUAGAUGUCCCACAUCGGACAAAUCAAUUGUCCUUGGGCAAUAUAUAAGUGUAUGGGUAGCUUUUGAGUGGAGGUUUACCCGUACACUUAUAUAUUGCCCAAAGACAUUUGAUUUGUCCGAUGUGGGACAUCUAAUAAAGAGAGAGAUCGGCUUACUUCUUCAUUACUGGAGAAGACAUUGACGCCAAAGGAUUGGAAGACUUCAUGGCGACUGAGAUUCGAGUGAACGGCGGUUGAGAUGUGAUGCGGAGGAAGCAGACCAGAGGCGACCAUUCCUCUGGCUAUACUCUCCGCCAUCUUUCCAGCUCCGAUGAACCCAACCGACAAGUACUCCAUCGGUAUCUGAUGUUUCUCCAUCGGAAAGUAACGAACUUGGGUUGUCACUGGUUUCAAGUUAAAGUGACAAGUGUUUGAAGCGUGCACGUGAAGAUCACGUGGCCCAUUUUCUUACCAAGGCCCAACACAAAGGAUACAAACUUUUAAAAAAGGGCCCUCAAGUGAGAUUGGAUUAAACUCAUAUAUAGUGCCAUUGGGAUAUUGGUCACAAGCAAAAAUAAAGCUGAAAGUAUUAGUUUAGGAGACCACUUGAUGAGUUGGACUCACCCAAUCGAUCGGGAUCACCUCUAGGAAGAUGAAUUUGACCUUAUUAGGCGUCAAAAAAUUAGCUCAAGGGUCCCAACGUAUAAGUUAUAACCAUAUGAUUGCACUUGUUGGUCUUACGGCACGUGCUAGAGCCGCUAUGACCAAACCUCACUUCCGAUUGACUUGAUAGUCCUUGGAAGGAUCUAUAAUAGUAGAGCCCCAUGAUGGUAAGAACAGUCUCCAAGCAGUUUGAGAAGGUACGGUUCAUACAGAAGAACAUGAACCAGUUUGCCAUUUGAUAAAAGAGAAGGAAGCAAUCCGCACUAUAAAAUGCAAAUACAAAUUGAAUGAAAUAAAGAAAAUGACUCAGUAUGGUGCAUAGAAAGGAUACAGACCAACUUGCAACACUUUCUCCAUACAGAGCAUCUGAGAGUUUAUACAAAUAGAGAUCACCAAGAGUUGAAAAUGCAGAUUGCAUGAGACGUGGAGCUUUGCUCUGCACAUAAAAAGAAAGGAUUGUAACACAUCAAGCCAUUCUAUUUACCGUUAUUUAAACACACUGAGAGCUAAAACUAAUACAUUACAUCAUUUAAAAGUAACAGAACACUGUAUAUACCGAAUCAAGAAGAAUCAUACUAACCAUAACGUUCGAUCGUACUGUUCGAUCUGAUGUAGAAGAAACACUAGACGGAGUCCGGUCAUCGCCGGCGUUAACUGACGCGCCACCGUCGGCGUUCUUCCGUUUCCUAACUUCCAUUGAAGAAGGUAGAAAUUAAGCAAGCCCAAAAUGAAGCUGAAGUCUUCGGACACGUUGGGUUAAUUCACUGUUUAGCUAUCCAAUUAUUAAUGGGCUUAUAGUAUGCUAAGAAAAUGCCUAAUAUAAACUAAGCUCUGAAUUAUUUAGGCCCAUCUUAUUAUGGAGGAUUUUUAAGACUACAGUAAUCACGUACACGGUACACCACUAGUACACAGUAGUACAUAAAUAAAUCUAUCAAAACGUCAAAAUUUUCAUUUCCGGCAUUACUUUUUUCUAAUCAAAUACAGCAUUGUUGAAUGACGUGAGUUAAAAAUUGAUUAGCUAAAAUUUUAUUUGAAUUCUUGAGUUAACUAACGAGCUAAUUAAUAGUGUCCUCCAUGAGGUUUGACAAAACUUAGCUUCUAGAAAGAAAGAAAAAAAUGAAUAUACGACAAAAUUUUGCGUAACGCUUUGAUGCAACAAGUUUAGCCUCUUUUUUUCCUUACACGUUCAGUUUAGGAGAAGGACAUAUGGUAUAACACGACUGACGAGGACAGCUUAUUUACGAAAUUAGUCUAUAACGCUUAUCCUUCUCAUGAAUCCAUGAACCAUGCAUGACAUAUGUAUUAUCAACAUGGUGACUAAAUGAAUGCCAGUAUACAUGCUGACACCUAAAAUACGUACACGUGUAUUUGUUUUGUAACGUAAAAUGUUUUUCUUGUUUGCUUGUUUUAUUUAACAACCAAUUAAGUUUCCUUGUUGUUUAGUUUAAAGCAUUUAUUUACAGUAGAUAAUAAGGAAAGAUCGAUUAUUUAAGAAAAUUUAUAUCAAAGUAAGCACGAAAUCAUAAAGAUGAAUCUUUUGUAGGAUGAUAUUACUAGGUAAGUGUUGUAUUAGUUUCUGAGUGAAAUGAUAUCAUUAUCAACUAUAAGAGGUGAAUUUGAACAAAGUAGAGAUUUCUUGUUCUUCAGUUUGUUCCUUAUUUAUUCUUUUAGCAUGGUUUCUAGAAUAAAAUUUAUCACGCUAUGGACUUUGCUUACCAGAGAAACUGAUACGAAAAACAUGUCCAAAAAGCAGUAACAAAUUGCAUACUUGUCAUGCGGAGACGUGAUUAAAUGAAAGAAAGAAAACGUUUACCUUGUACAGUCUUCUCUUGAAUAUUACUCCCAUAUUUAUCAUUUAAUGUGCAUAUAUUAAUACAGCGUUUAAAAAAAGAAAGUGCAUCACAGCAUAUAUUAACACAUAUUUAAUGGAGUUGGGGUGACUAUAUUAAUACAUCAUUUAAAUAUAUAUCAAUUUAGGUGCCAAAUUUCAAUAUUUCAUUUUUUAUUGGCAAACAUGUAAUUUUCUAUGUUCAUUUACUAAACAAAAUUAGUUCAGAUCUAGUCUACUGUUGAUUUUUUCCUACCAAAUUAUUUUGGUGUGCUGUUUUAUUACCUGUCUAAUGCUGAUUCCACCGAAGAAUUUUUUGAUGAUGAAAAAAAAGAAUGUUUUGAUGACCUCCUUUUUUAUCAACAAAAGAACUCAAGAAAAUCCAUAUGGAAUGUUACAAUGAAAAAUUAUUUUGUAAAGUCCAAGUCAUAAAACAAUUAAUGCAUGUUGGAACCAUAAAAACAAUGACAUUCAAGUAAAAAAAAAAGUUUUCUACUAUACUAAUAUUUACUUUUCUUAUCUUGAUUUUUAGCUUUUUUUUUAUUAAAAGUUAAAUUUUUAUAUUUCGCUAAGAACCGAUUUAAAAACUCCCUCUUUAAUCAUGCUCUAGUCAAAAACACAGUAACUAUUUUUGGAAACACAAUUAAGUAAAAGUCACCUCGGCUAUAAGUAGUUUUGUGAAAUCAACGUAAAGAAAACAAAAACUAUGGCAGUUUCAUCACCUCACCAUGUGGUUCUCUUUCCUUACAUGUCAAAGGGCCACACCAUCCCUCUCCUCCGAUUCGCCCGUCUCCUCCUCCUCCGCCACAACCGUGUCAUCUCCCCCUCCGACCAAAGCGAAGAGCCAAACAUUUCCAUCACCAUCUUCACCACCCCACAAAACCAUCCCUUCAUCUCAAACUUCCUCUCCGACGUCUCAUCAUCCACCAAAAUAAUCUCCUUCCCUUUCCCGGAAAACAUCUCCGGUAUCCCUCCCGGCGUCGAGACCACCGACAAGCUCCCUUCCAUGUCGCUCUUCGUGCCCUUCACGCGCGCAACGAAGUCUCUCCAGCCUCUCUUUGAAGAAACACUCAAGAAUCUUCUACACGUUUCUUUCAUCGUCGCCGACGGGUUCCUCUGGUGGACGCUGGACUCCGCCGCUAAGCUCGGUAUCCCGAGCCUCGCGUUCUACGGCAUGAACAACUACGCGUCAGCUCUCUUCUCCUCCGUAUACGUACACCAACUCUUUACCAAACCGGAAAUAAUUAAAUCCGAAACCGAACCGGUUACUGUACCGGAUUUCCCAUGGAUAUCGGUUAAGAAGUGUGAGUUCUCACCUAUUUUUACCCACCCGGAUAGAUCGGGUCCAGAGUUUGAGCUAUUCGUCGACCAGAUAGUGUCCACGGGGAAAAGCCGCGGAGUCAUAGUUAACAGUUUUUACGAGCUCGAGUCAGCGUUCGUUGACUUCCGGCUCCGUGAUAGCGAUGGCCCCAAACCGUGGUGUAUUGGACCUUUGUGUUUGGUGAAUCCAGAUAAACCGGAAAGUGAUAAACCGAGUUGGAUUCAUUGGUUGGACCGGAAACAAGAGGAAAAAUGUCCGGUUUUAUAUUUGGCGUUUGGAACGCAGACGGAGAUUUCAAAAGAGCAGCUCAAGGAAAUAGCAUUAGGGUUAGAAGAUUCCAAGGUACGUAUGUAUGACCGUCGAUGCCAAAAUAUGAAUAACUAAGAGUAUGAUUAUCUGGUGAAAUGGGUUUCUAAACUUUUUUUUUAUCUGAUUAAAAAAAAAUUUAAAAACGGAACCAAUCGCGAGCUGCCACGUACAGUGGAACCCGCAAAAUAGUGUAAGAAACGGACCGAAACCGUUUUUUAUCUCGCGAUUUAUGAAACCCGUUUUUAUCAUAAGCGCGGGGUCUAUUCCUUAAGAAACGCGUUCGCGUGAAAGAUGCUGUAAUGGGUAGAAAAAGUAUUAUAUCAUGUUCUAAUAAUUAUUUACUAGUAGAUGCUAAAAAACAAAAAUUACUAGUAUAUUGUAUUUAUCAACCAUUUAAUAUUUUAGAAUGCGAAAAACAUACUAGUGGUUGACAUUAACUGUCACCGUUGUAUUCAUUAAUGCAUGUAUGGAAUGACAGAACAUGCAUCUUUAUUCCAAAAAAAAUGACAGAACAUGCAUUAUGUUGUUAAAUUACGUGGCCUUUGAUUGAUUAAUGCAAAGGUUAACUUCUUGUGGGUCACGAGAGUGGACGUGGAAGAAUUGACUGGAGAAUUAGGGUUCGAAAAGAGAGUGAAAGAUCAUGGGAUAAUUGUGAGAGAUUGGGUGGAUCAAUGGGAGAUAUUGUCACAUGAAAGUGUCAAAGGGUUUUUGAGUCAUUGCGGAUGGAACUCGGUGCAAGAGAGUAUUUGCACUGGAGUUCCAUUGCUGGCUUGGCCAAUGAUGGCUGAGCAGCCACUCAAUGCGAAGUUGGUAGUGGAAGAGUUAAAGGUUGGUGUAAGGAUCGAAACGGUAGAUGGAAGUGUGGAAGGGCUAGUGACAAGAGAAGAACUUAGUCGAAAGGUAUACAUAUCAAAUUGUUUUUACAUUUCAAUGAAUUUAAUAUUAGAUUAUGGCACUAAUUAUAUUUGUCUUUAAUUAUUUCAUUUUUUAUUUGUACCAUUUUAGGUUAAAGAGUUAAUAGAUGGAGAUACGGGGAAGACUGUGAAAGAAUAUGCAGAAAUGGCGAAAGAAGCUUUGGCUCAAGGGACUGGUUCGUCUUGGAAGAAUUUAAAUUCACUCCUUGAAGAGCUAUGUGUGAGUAGAGAGACUAAUGACGUUAAUAAAUUGUCAAGCGAUAACUAGAGAGAUUUAGCAGCGCUAGACAACCAAACCUGUUUGUACCAUGGUGAUCAUUGCUCAUUAGAACGUAAUUUGGUUUGGUAUGGGACUUGUUCAUAGUAAUAACGUUAUGAUCUUUUUCAUUUCACAGUAAUGACACUACACAGCGGUGGGGUUUAUGAGCCUUGUUCACAGUAAUACCGUUAUGAUCAAUUUCAAUUCACAGAAAUAUCAGGAGAGAUUGAGAAAGUCUUUUUUGCUAAUAAGCUAAAACACGUAGAGAUUUACGUUCCAUAAUGCCGGUCCAACAUUUUUAAAAUUUUAUUGAUGUCCCAAACUCACCUAAAAUUUCAUGUCCUUGUUAUUAAUACAAAAAAAAAUUAUAAUACCUUAUAUACAGCUAAAAUUAUCGGGUUUUUUUCUUUUGAUAACCGAGUGUUCUGGCUCCACCGUGGUGGUACAGACUAGAGACAAAAGCGAGCAAGGACGCUGCCAAGACGUCAUCAUAUGGCUCACCGUUAACGGUCUUCGGUUUCGGGCAUUGGAGGGUCCGCAUGUAAAUUCCCAGUGGCCGGAUUUCAAAUCUAUGUAGCGGAACUCACAGCCGUGAACCCUUUACCACCUGAACUAGAAGCCCCGGUUAAAAAAAACAAAAUUAUCGGUUAAAAUCAUGAUGUCCUAUACAAUCAGUUUAUUUGCCUAUGCUCUGGACCGGCCAUGAGUACCAGUGUCCACAAUUGAUCGGAAAGAUGGAGAUGUUGCAAUGGAAGGUUUUAAUUAUGUCUCAGCCGCGAUUGACAGUAACUAUACAGCCCCAGAAUAUUGUCCCCUCCUACCAUAAAGUUGUUAAUGCUGAUAUAGAUGUUCAACAAAAUCAACACAAUGUCCACUCUACUCUCAGUUAUGAGUUGGUCUUAACCAGCUGAGGUGUAUGUGUGGGCUUUUACUUCAGAUGACUGCUUAGCACGCUUAGACCCAUUUAGUGGAGUCGUGUCGUUUUGAGGCCCAGCUUUGGAGGGUGUUUAUGUCUUUUGACAUGCGGGUGGAUAAUGUGAGCAUAGAGAAACAGAGUAACCUUAUCGAGUGAAGAUUGGGUAGUAGUAGUAAGCAAAAAUGGCGUCGAUUGCAGCAUCUUCUACCUUUCACUCGCUUUCAACAGCCAAAAGCCCUAACCUUUCUUCGACCCAUCUAUCGAAAAACCUCACCUUUCGAACCAGACCCAUCGAGAACAGCAGAGUUUGCAGCUUUUCUGCGUUUACGAAACAGAGUCGCCUUGGGUUGAGGAAGCUUUCGUGCCUUGGAGAAGGAGGAGGAGAAGGCGUUGCGAUUGCAGAUGAAGAGCAACAACAACAACAACAACAGCAAGAGACUGUCUCUGUUCCUGUCUCUCCUUCAGACAUGCUCACCAUGUUCUUUCAGGUACUUGACUUUGUUUGAUUAACUAUAAGCUGGAAUGCUUUGUAAACGAAUAGCUUAUUGUUAUAUAAGAGCUUAGAAACGAAUAUUAAUGCACAACCGUAGUUAAAUUGUAUUGAAGACUCAUGCUAAGUACUACUACACUCUUGACCAUUGUUAGCUUUUUUUUUUUUUUUGGUUGAUUCGAAGGCUGAUGGAACUUUGAACGAAGCAGCUAUUCCUAAUGUCACAAAGGCCUUACAGGUAAACUACUUUGCAAUGAGAAGAUCUCUCAUUGAACUAGCGAAUCUGUUCAGAGCUAGCGGAGAAUCUUUGUUGAAUGCAUCUGUUUCUCUUCUGUUUCUUGGCUUAUAUGAAAUCUUGUCUGUUCUCUCAGGACAUCGAUGGAGUUUCCAACUUAAAGGUUCAAGUUUCUGAAGGUGUUGCCGUUGUUGAGGUAUGUCCACAUCCAACAUUCUCUUGAUACAUUGCCUUUACAUGCCUAAGCACCCACAAGGAUAGACUUUGAAUAUGUAUGGAUUAGAUGUAUGGGAUGGGGUUUUGUUUUAGAUAUUAAUAGUGGUUAACCACGGGAUUAGUCUUCAGGGCCGCAUAAGAAAGUUGGAUCGGGCCUGAACCUUGAAAAGCCAAGGGCUUUUUAUAGGAAUAGUUAUGUUAUCGCUGCAUGAAAAUCAGAACAUCUCUAUGUUUAAUGUUUGGAUUAGACUAUGGAAUCUGACUUAUGUUAUGUUGUAUGUGUGUAUAUGUGAAGCUUUCAAAGCAAACAACGGUUCAAGCAACAGGAGUGGCGUCAAGCUUGGUAGAGACUAUACAAGGAGCUGGCUUUAAGUUACAAACUUUGAAUCUGAGCUUUGAAGACGAAGACGAGGUUCUUGUCUAAUAAUUGAAUCAUGUUUCUCCUGCUCCGUUUUGUGAUUAAACAAACACAUUAAUGUUCAAUAUUUUAGGAUUACUUUCUUUUAUUUGUUCCUCGCAAGAAGACAACGUAGUAGAUUACAAAAAGUGGGAAUUUAAUAUUUUCGUUGCUUUAAAAGAAGAAAUAUCAAAACAAGAAAAUACUAUAAUAAUUCAUAUGGGUUCCCCACAAAGCAUGGAGGUUGAGAAUUUUAUAGACUUUUGGGUUCCAUGCUUUAAACAAUGCAUGUGGUUGUGUGUCAGUGUGUACAUAGUAAAAUAUAUAGUGAAUCACAGCUCAAGCAUUGUUGUACUUUUUUUUUUUUUUUGCUCAACUUCAACUGAUUCAUUCACCCAUAAACUUGGUACAAGACAUUUUGACACACAAUGUUUCUACCACAUAUACAACACUGCAUCUUAGCAACACUCUGGAACACUCACUAGGUGAAAACUCACUCGGAUCCAGCGCAGCCUAGAGUACAAUGCUGUAUUUUUUAACCACAGUGAGAUGAGAGAGCUCCACGACUCGAAGCAAACCAUCUCUUAAACCACCUAAUUAGACCUCAUGAUACAGACACGUUUACUAACUUAAUGAGACAAUCCUAAAAACGAGAUUACAAAUUAUACCAAGCUGUUGGUCCCUUAAGAUCGGCGUGAUAAACUUGACCCAACAACAUCAUCACCUUAGGCGUGUUCCCGCAUUAGUUUUGUACCACCAGCUUUCAACGUGCUGAUCCUCAGCCAUAAAACCGGACAAAACCUAUCCGGAAUGAAAGAUCGAGCCUUGGUAGCCAGCACGAACCGGAACUGUGAAUCCAAGUUUCCAGCGGUGUGGGGCUCGGACCACCGACUAAAUUGAUUUUCGCCGGCGCUGGGAUGUCGAACCACCACCACGUACCCCUUAAAGGUAAGCUCCUCCAGUCGACCACUCCUUCGUCGCAGACCUUCGGUACAUGUUAUCCCCGAAAACCAGAAGACAAACCACCUUUCACUCGCCGUCAAUCCUUGCCUCCGAAAGUCUCACCUCCAUGUGCGAAGGUAGAUCCAUGACGGAGAACUCAUCACACCGAGUCACGCGCCACCACCGGUUAGGAAUCGCCACAGAUCUGUAAAGGGAAAAUCAGAUCUUGCUCAUCCUCAAGCUCUAAACGCCGACCCACUUCUCUUUCGUCGCCACCACAGCCUCGCCGCUGUUCCAGAGGGAGCCGGAAUGCGACGCCAACGGAUCCGGAGAUCCGCCGGGAAAAUCCCAACUAACCCAGAAUCAACGAGCAAGGAGACCAGAUGAAAGACAGAAAAGAAGAGAGCAAAGGAAAAAGGAGAUGAGGGGAAAGGAGGAGCCUCCGGCACCGGCACCGCCGGACCGGAGUUAGGGUUUCACGGCUUUGAUGUUAGAGAUGGACGAGAGCGUUUGUUAGAGAGAGAAGUUUUUUCUUUUUAAAGCUUCCUUCUUUAUUGACCCAAUAAGCAUUGUUGUACUUGCAUCUCUAGUAAUGCACAUUUCUGUAUCUUUUUCUAUUAGUUGUACUUUUGCAUUUUAUAGUUUAUGAUGUCUUAUAAUCUAUUGUAUCACAUACAAUAACAGUUUUAAAAGGUAUAAUUAAGAUUAAGAUUAAGAAAACAUUCAUUCGUGAUUUUUUUUUUAUCAGGCACGAGACCUAUAAUGAUAAAAUCUUUACGCGUGUCGACUUCGCUAUAAUUAACUGUUUCCUUGUUUCCGAUUUAUUAGAAAAAAAGUUCAUCGAAACAAUGUAAAUGACCCAUGUGCUCUUGUCCAUCUUUGAUUUGAUAACACUUCAGAUUUUUAUAAGGACAUGUAAAAGCAUACUAUAAGUUGAUAACGUAGAUAUUUCAAAUCAUUUUGCUGCAUGUUAGCAAAGCUAGAUAAAACGACAAGGGUUUUUUCACUGGUGCAAUAAUAUAAGCGACACAGCUUUAUGGGCAAAUUGAAUGCUAUUUAUUUGUAUCCUAAAAACAGUUUAUUAAUGUCAAAUUGCCUUCCGCUGGUUUCUUGGGGUACGCAAACAUAUCCCAAUGGGGUGAACGAUCUAUUUCCCCACGAGAACUAUCGUAUAGUAUCAGAUCUCCAUCAAACUAUGACCUCGUGUUAAAACUCCAUGAAUUUAAAGUUGUCAACUUAUUUCUCUCCAAAUUAUAAGUUGUAAAUUGAUUUCUCCCCAAAUCUAUAGUUCAAAACUUAAUUGUCCAUAGACCAUGGUUUUAAUCGGUUUACUAUUAACCUACCAAUUUUAAACUAAUUAAAACCUUUUUAAAAAAAAACUGAUUCAUUAAAAAAUUGAAUUAAAAUUGCCAAAAAAAUUUGUUUGUCUAAUAAAAAAUUCUGGGAAUCACUUUUUUUUUUGUGAAUCGCUUUUUUUUUAAUAAAAAAUUAGUUUGAGAUUUUUAUUGGUUUAAUUGGUCGGUUAACCGAUUAAAACCAUGGUCUAUGGACAAUUACGUUUUGAAAUAUCGGUUUGGGGAGAAAUCAAUUUACAACUUAUAAUUUGGAGAGAAAUAAGUUUACAACUUUAAAUUCAUGGAGUUUUAGCACGAGGUCAUAGUUUGGUGGGGAUCUGAUGCUAUACGAUAGUUCUCGUGGGGAAAUAGAUCGUUCACCCCAAUAUUUUCACCAUAGUUCAUAGAGUUAAUAAAAUUAAUUAUUUGUACUGAUAAAAGUACUCCAAGUUGGUGUACGAAUAAAAAGGAAAGUUCAUGUAUUAUGAUAAAUUAUCCUUUUCAUGUACUGUUAUCUACACAACCCAUUUUGGGAAUCUGAUAUGUUGUUCCUCGGGGUCUGAGAAAUUAUGAUGCAGUGAAAGUUCAAAGCUGGCAUGCAUAUACAAUAACUACUCUGGACCUAGCACUUACUAUGGAUUAAAAUUAUUUCUUUGUCCGUCAAAUUUUUUUUUUAUUUCUUUGUAUUUUAUGGAUAAUAACAGGAAUUAAUAUUUAUUUUAAUAAAAGAACUUCUAUUUAUAGCACAAAAGGCCAUUGAAUUGCUCUUCAACAUGAGACUUCACCCCUUCCUCAUCUCACACAGAAUGUCUCUCUCGCUUCUUUCAGUCUUCAUCUUUCUUCAAGUCUUUGCCAAUGUAAGUUAUUAGUAAUUUUAAUGUUUUCAAUUCCAUUUAGUGUGUGAAGGACUAAAAAUAGACUUCAAAUAUUAUCUAUUUACGCGCAUUAUGCGUUUGUACAUUUCAACUAACUAUAUAUUUUGAUUAAUCACCGAGCAGGUUGUUUUUGCUGCUUCAAACGAGGAAUCCAAUGCAUUAGUAUGUUUCUAAAUUUCUUAUUUCCGCUCUAACUAUUUAAAUGUGUAUACUUUAAGCAUUGGUUAGGCUAAUAUACUAUUUAUUACGUAAUAAAGGUAAAACUGCUUUCUAAAAAAAGGUUUAAACUUGGUAUUCCAAUGCAAUUGACAGGUUUCGUUACCUACGUCACCGACGUCCCCGGCAAUCAAACCACCGUCUCCGUCAUACAAGCCACCCUCAUUUCCUACUACUCCGAUUAAACCACCCACCAUUACACCACCAGUCAAACCCCCAACCACUCCGGUUCCACCCACAUCACCACCUACGUACAAACCUCCAACUGUUAAACCACCUACAACAACACCGGUCAAACCACCUCCGGUUCAACCACCUUACAAACCCCCAACGUCACCGGUUAAGCCACCCACGAUGCCACCAGUCAAACCACCACCUACGUACAAACCCCCAACGCCACCUGUUAAGCCACCCACGAUACCACCAGUCAAACCACCUACAGCGCCGGUUAAACCAACCCCAAUACCUCCAUAUAAGGCACCACCUGUCAAACCGACCCCACCACCGCCAGUCACAACACCACCGCCAGCUAAACCACCCGUCAACCCAAUCCCAUCACCUCCGGUCAAUGCACCACCUGUUAAGCCACCGUACAAACCUCCGACACCGCCUCCCGUCAGAC